UGGGGAAUAUUGGACAAUGGGGGCAACCCUGAUCCAGCCAUGCCGCGUGUGUGAAGAAGGCCUUUUGGUUGUAAAGCACUUUAAGCAGUGAAGAAGACUCCAUGGUUAAUACUCAUGGACGAUGACAUUAGCUGCAGAAUAAGCACCGGCUAACUCUGUGCCAGCAGCCGCGGUAAUACAGAGGGGGCAAGCGUUAAUCGGAAUUACUGGGCGUAAAGCGAGCGUAGGUGGCUUGAUAAGUCAGAUGUGAAAGCCCCGGGCUUAACCUGGGAACGGCAUCUGAUACUGUUAGGCUAGAGUAGGUGAGAGGAAGGUAGAAUUCCAGGUGUAGCGGUGAAAUGCGUAGAGAUCUGGAGGAAUACCGAUGGCGAAGGCAGCCUUCUGGCAUCAUACUGACACUGAGGUUCGAAAGCGUGGGUAGCAAACA
rnacentral:rRNA from 1 species